CCUACGGGAGGCAGCAGUAGGGAAUCUUCGGCAAUGGGCGAAAGCCUGACCGAGCAACGCCGCGUGAAUGAUGAAGGCCUUCGGGUUGUAAACCUCUGUCGGAGGGAACGAAACGCUUGGGUGUUAAUAAUGCCCAAGUUUGACGGUACUCUCAAAGGAAGCACCGGCUAACCUCGUGCCAGCAGCCGCGGUAAU
rnacentral:rRNA from 1 species